rnacentral:rRNA from 1 species
UUCCGGUUGAUCCUGCCGGAAGUCAUUGCUAUUGGAGUCCGAUUUAGCCAUGCUAGUCGUACGAGCUUAGACUCGUGGCGAAUAGCUCAGUAACACGUGGCCAAGCUACCCUGUCGAUCGGGAUAACCUCGGGAAACUGAGGCUAAUACCGAAUACGGCUCGAUGCCUGGAACUGGCUCGAGCUCGAAACGCUACGGCGCGACAGGAUGUGGCUGCGGCCGAUUAGGUAGACGGUGGGGUAACGGCCCACCGUGCCGAUAAUCGGUACGGGUUGUGAAAGCAGGAGCCCGGAGACGGAAUCUGAGACAAGAUUCCGGGCCCUACGGGGCGCAGCAGGCGCGAAACCUUUACACUGCACGAGAGUGCGAUAGGGGGACUCCAAGUGCGAGGGCAUACAGUCCUCGCUUUUGUACACCGUAAGGUGGUGUACGAAUAAGUGCUGGGCAAGACCGGUGCCAGCCGCCGCGGUAAUACCGGCAGCACGAGUGAUGACCGCUAUUAUUGGGCCUAAAGCGUCCGUAGCCGGCCGGGCAAGUCCAUCGGGAAAUCCGCACGCCUAACGUGCGGGCGUCCGGUGGAAACUGCCUGGCUUGGGACCGGAAGACCCGGGGGGUACGUCUGGGGUAGGAGUGAAAUCCUGUAAUCCUGGACGGACCGCCGGUGGCGAAAGCGCCUCGGGAAGACGGAUCCGACGGUGAGGGACGAAAGCUAGGGUCACGAACCGGAUUAGAUACCCGGGUAGUCCUAGCCGUAAACGAUGUCUGCUAGGUGUGGCGCUGGCUACGAGCCAGCGCUGUGCCGUAGGGAAGCCGUGAAGCAGACCGCCUGGGAAGUACGUCUGCAAGGAUGAAACUUAAAGGAAUUGGCGGGGGAGCACUACAACCGGAGGAGCCUGCGGUUUAAUUGGAUUCAACGCCGGA